UGUGCCGCCUCCCUUUCGUGCUGCGGCCUUCUGCCGCUGACUGUCCAACUUUCGGGUUUUCUUGCCUUUUUUCUCUCAGAGUUGAGCCCCUACCCGGGCCGUUUAGUCCCUGGGUCACGAGGAACGGUGGAGUUUAGAACCUGCGAUGGAACUCACCAGAGACCAGAUAGCUAGAGAAUGGCUGAACUGGGUUUUAAAUCUAGUCAAUCUUGACCCCAGAGCUCUCCAGCCUAAAGCACCCUUCUAUCAUAGAGGUCAUCAUCCACAUUCCACAGAUGAGAAAAGAAAGUUUGGGGAAGGAGGCUCCAGGCUGCACACCUAUUGCUGAGGAGAGCUGAAAUUCCAACCAUGUUUCUCCAGCUCCAGAGUCUGUGCCUCUACCACUUGAUAUAAAAGACCAUGUGAUCACAUCACAAGCUACAAAUAACUCUAACUAAAUAAAAAGCAUGCUGAUCUGAACUCUGGAAGAGAAUCUUUAUCAAUCAAUAUCUAGCGUUGUCCCAGGAAGACAGAUUCAAUGUGUAGCAGACACUGGAAAGCCUACCUUAUAUAAGUGCAAGGGGAUCUGCUGACCCUGCCCCAUUUAUUCAACUGGUGGCAAUAUGGCUGCUGUGGUUCCAGGGCCACAUCUAGAUGCACCAAUGUUCCCAAAAAGGAGAGAGAACAUCAACUUCUGUGUCUGUUUUAGGAGAAGGAAACCUUUUCCAGAGGCUUGCCAGCUGACUUCUCCCAAAGGGUCCUGGUACUUAAGGAAUACCUUUCAGAAGGAUGGAUGAAUAUGAAGAAACUAAGGAGCAAAGGAAUCAAAGAUUUCUUCCAGUCUACCUGGGAAGUUAGCUGCAUAGUUAGAAAUAGAACCCCAAACUCCUGGCCUGUUUUCCAAACCACAGAUAUGCUUGGUUUAUGCAGGAUGUUGCCUCCAGGCUGAAAAGAAAGGGAUGGAUGCAAUCCAAAGAAGAAUGAGGGCCAGGGGAAGUGUGAAGUCCAGCCAUGGAGGUAAACCCCCAAGGGAACAAAAUCCACUGGGGCCCAGGUGGGCUUGCGUGAGCUCCAACUGGGGGAAAAAAAGGGAAGAUCCUAUGGGUCUCUUUUCCUGGGCCCAGUUCUAUUCUCAGACUCUUCCUCUGGUGAGGGAGGAUGGAGAGGGGGCUUCUUACCACUUUAGACUCACAACACUGUCCUGUUCUUUCCUCCAAGAGAUCUAAUCCUUACUUGGUAUUAUUUACACUUAGCCUCUAAUGUGAUGGAGCUUUUAAACCAGGAUUGGCUGUCAGCAAGUCUCCUAGGUUAUUCUAGAGUUUGUGGGGAUUGGAAAGGAGUGGGUAUUGUGUAAGAAUCCAAGCUUCCUACUGACAGCCCUAGGACUUAGAGCCCAGCCAACCUGAGCACAGGUCUCCUAGCCCAGCUACUUUUCUCUGCUCUCACCCCAUUUCUUUCUCUUCCCCUCCACUCCAAGAUGCUGGGCAUGCAGGAUCCAUUCGUACUGCAAUUUCUUCUCCAGUCUUUGCCCUGGGUGCUUAGGUCUCUUCACCUGCCCCUUCUCUGCCCCCAUCCCAAGAAUGAUAAGAAAGCCUUUCCAUCCUGAACUGGGCAUUGUUCAGCCUCCAGAAACUUGGUUCUGGCUCUUUUGAGAGUGGUUGGGAUGCUGCUGCACAGAAGGAAACAAGAAAGUGAAGUGAACCCAACAGCCUCAGCCAUGGGCAUUGGUAAGUAAGAUGGAGGCUGGAAAUCCUACAAGCUGCAGAUCAUAGAUCCUGAUGCUCACUGGCCUCAUAAUACAGAUUCAGAUAAGGAAGUUAAGGUCCUGAGAGACUUGUUCAGGAUCACUCAUUUAUUUAUUGCCAAAGUCAAGACUAGAAUCCACUUCACACAAAUAUCACCCAAUUGAUGUUGCUUCUUUUAUUGUGCCAGAUGCAAGCAGAAAACUGUGGUCCUUCCAGAAAUACUCAUGCCAACAGGAGUAUGGGAAAGAUAUCAGAAAAGCUUUCCAGGGUCUAUGUAGUGGCUCGUAUCUAUAAUUCCAGCACUUUGGGAGGCCGAGGUGGGUGGAUCUCUUGAAUCCAGGAGUUUGAAACCAGCCUGACCAACAUGGUGAAACUCCAUCUCUACAAAAAAUGCAAAAAAUUAGCCAGAUGUGGUGGCACAGGCCUGUAGUACCAGCUACUUAGGAGGCGAACGCUGGAGAAGUCUAGGCUGCCGUGAGACCCCUGCACUCCAGUCUGAAUGACAGAGCUAGACCCUGCCUUAAACAAAACAAAACAAAACAAAGAUAUCCACUGAAACUGUUUAUAGAUAAUAUGAAACUAACAAAAUAUUAUUUACUAGAUUGUAUAUUUUCAUAGCAGCAAUUUUAAAAAGAGGUCGAAUUUCACCACUAUUUCUUCCUUUCUUCCUGGAAUUAGGCAUUGUUUUGAUAAUCUUGGUCAACUGAAAAUAUUCUCUCUAUAACUAUCAAGUUAGUGUGAAAGUUUUUUAGGAAAAAAUGCUUUUCUAUUUUAAACUGAAUCACAACACAUAUGUAUAGACAUCAGUUUCUGGAAGAAGAGCUAUUUUUAAAUAGUGCAUAAAAUGGCAUUUAAAAUAAGCCAUUUUAUCAGAGUUGCCUCCCUUGCCUAACAAGCUAUUCUGAAACUAAUCAAAUGAUUCCAUUAUUCAGUCCAAGUAAACAAAUGUUAGUACCUAAGUGUUAGUUUCUGCAUGGGACACAAAGAGAUGCUGCUCCCACACAGAUCCCCAUCUGCGGAAAGAGUUAGGUAAGGGCAGAGCAGCUGUCACAGGAGAUGGGGGAUGAGGGGGGUGAGUGAGCAAAAGGAGUGCAAAAACCUAUGGAGAGGGAAAGCAGGGAGGGAAACAACAAAUAUUUGUUGAAAAAACAUUAUCCUGGAAUAAAUCAGACAUUUAGUAAAAGUAGUUGUGGAGGCAGAGGCUGGGAGGAUGAGAGGGAUUGAAUAAAAAAAUUCCUGGCUUUUUGCCUCCAGAGCACAAGCAUUUAGCAAGUCCAAAUAUUGAAGAUACUGUAAUGAUUUUUAAAAGAAUAUGCAAAAUAUUUUAAUUUCACUCCUUCUAAAAACACUUAUCUCUUUCCACCAUGGUGAACUUAUCCAAAUCCCUGGGUCCUAGCCAUUUUUGUCAGCCUUUUAAUAUUAAACCAGAAGGAUAGAAAUCCCACCAGCCCGGAGACCUUUUGCUUUUGUGUCACAGUCACCCUGUCCCCAAUAGCUCAUAUUGUAUCUUCAUUUGUGCUUGUACUGAGGAUGGAGUUUCUUAUGGCUUAACCCACUCAUUCAACAAAUAUUUAGUGAGCAUCUGCUGUGUUCUAGGCAUUGCCAGGCACCAGUAUUAGAAGGGUGAAUAUAAAUCUUCAGGGAAAUGCAAAUCAGAGCCACAAUCAGGUAUCACCUCACAACGGUUAAGAUGGACAUUAUAUUUUGAAAAAAAUCAAGACAAGUGUGAGCAGGCAUGUGGUGAAAUUAGAAUCCUUGUACACUGCUGGGGGGGAAUGUGUAAUGGCAUGGCUGCUGUGGAAAACAGGAUGGAGGUUUCUCAAAAAAUUAAAAAUAGAACUACCAUUUAAUCCAGCAUCUCACUUCUGGGUAUAUACCCAAAAGAAUUAAAAUAAAAAUCUCAAAAGAAAUAUCUGUACUCCCACAUUCAUUAUUUAUGGCCAAGAUAAGGAAACAACCUACAUGUCCCUUGAUGGAUGAAUGGAAAAAGAAAAUGUGGUAUAUACAUACAAUGGAAUAUUAUUCAGCCUUUAUGGAAAGGAAAGCCUGCUAUAUGCGACAACAUGGAUGUACCUAGAGGACAUUAUACUAAGUGAAAUAAACCAGUCACAGAAGCCCAAAUACUGCAUGAUUCCACUUACAGUAGAUAUCUAAAAUAGACUCAGAAAUGGAAAGUAGAAUGGUGGUUGCCAAGGGCUGGGGGAAGGGAGAAACGGGAAGUUAUUGUUCAACAAAGUUUCAGUUAUUCAAGAUUAGUAAGUUUUAGAGAACUACUGUACAACAUAGUGCCUUGUAAUUAACAACACAGUUUUGUGCACUUAAAAAUUUAUCAGGAGGGUGUAUCUCACAGUAAAUGUUCUUACCACAAUAAAAAAAAAAAAAA